rnacentral:rRNA from 1 species
AUGCCUGAUUGGCGCUGUAUGGAUCGUUAUCCUCUCUUGAUUAUCCUCAUUGCAAUGAACCUAGCCUUUAUCUUUUCUAUACGGAAAUGCUAUAUGACGACCAAUAUCCUGGGGAGGCCAACCCGAGCGAACACGCUCUCUCCCGUCGGAUUCGUUCACACGAAUCUUGGCCCAGGAUCCGAGCCACGUCACCAAAGCCAGCAAACUAUUUUCAAAAUAAUAGAGUCAGCACACCAGAAAUGCUACAUGGACGGGCAUAUUACAGGCCAAUUGGAAGGGGACUUUAAUCUUAUCAGAAAUAGUUCAGAAAAGAACAAACCUGAAGGACCGGAUCAUUUUAGCUUUGUUUUUAAUGCUAUUAUUGAACAUGCUGGGCUCAGAGACCUCCCUUUGAAUGGGAGGAAGUACACCUGGGCAAACAAUCUGCCUGAACCCACAUAUGAGAAAUUUGACAGAAUUUUAAUCUGCCUUGAUUGGAAAGACAAAUACCCCCUAGCUAUGAUGAAUGCCAUGGAAAGGGAGAUAUCUGACCACACCCCUCUAUUGUUAGACACUGGUAAUCACAAAAAAAACCAGCCCAUUUUCAGAUUUGAAAAUGCUUGGAUGCUUAUGGAAGGGUUUAAAGAUUUUGUGGAAAAAAAUUAG